UACCAUCUCAAGAGCCGCUUUCUCCACGGGCAUCUUAGUAUGGAAACUGAAGAGCUUCACAUAGUGGCUCAGUCCGGCCUUGUAGGGGUCUUGGUGGUGCCUGGGCUGUGCAGUGCGGGUCCUGGACGGAAGCUUGGCUGGCACAGACUCGGAAGAUACGCUGAGGACAGGAGCAGACAGCUGAUGGAACAACUCCUGCUGGCUCUGCUCAAACUGGGACUGCUGCAAAUUAACUUGAACAAGGACUCCAACAGGGAGUGGGGGGAGAUGGAGAGGGGGGUACAACACCUUCAAGCCCAGCACUGGGGAAUCAGGGCAGAAGAAUCUGAAUUCAAGGCCAGCCUCUAUUGAUUGAGUUUCAGGAUAGCUAGGAGUAUACAGAGAAACCCUGUCUCAAAAAAAAAAAAAAAAA
rnacentral:lncRNA from 1 species